UGGAAGUUAAAAAGCGUAACAAGGUUUCUGAGUAGCUUCGUAGGUGACCUGCGGAGGAUCAUUAACAUUAAUUUACUACACACUGUUUUUUUACAACAAAACAAAUCUAUCUAAAAACAAUUCUUUACAAGAAAUUCUUAAAACUUUCAACAACGGAUCUCUUGGUUCUCGCAUCGAUGAAGAACACA
rnacentral:misc_RNA from 1 species